CCUUUGAUCAAAGCAAAAUGAAUAUUAGAAAGAGUUUCUAAUAUUUCAUUGUUUGAAUUAUCAUAUAAAAGAUUGAGAGAGACAUGAAUAAGUGAUUGAGUUUGAUAUUGAUCCAUACUCAUGCACUUAUUCAGGAUGUAGUAUGACUGAGGGAUUGAAUUGCACAGUAACUUUCCACUGAAGGGUAUGUUUGGAUUUGUCCAAUACAUUCCUCAUCUUCCGGGUAGACAUGAUACGUUGCUAGACAUCAAUCAUAUCUUGUGGGUUGAUCGGAUCAAAGAGUUUGAUUAGAUCAAAGCAUCAGAAAGGUUCUGAUUGCUAAGUUAGGUUUAGCACUAAAUUGAACCUAAAUUGGAUUAGAGGUAUUCUAAUCAGGUUAGGUCAACUUGCACCUGCACCUACUGCUGGCUAAGAUAAGGAACCCAAUGGGUCACACACAA
rnacentral:lncRNA from 1 species